rnacentral:rRNA from 1 species
UGGGGAAUUGUUCACAAUGGGCGCAAGCCUGAUGACGCAACGCCGCGUGGGGGAUGAAGGUCUUCGGAUUGUAAACCCCUGUCGAACGGGACGAACGGCCUCUGGGCUAAUCACCAGAGGAGUGACGGUACCGUUAAAGGAAGCCACGGCUAACUCUGUGCCAGCAGCCGCGGUAAUACAGAGGUGGCAAGCGUUGUUCGGAAUUACUGGGCGUAAAGGGCGCGUAGGCGGCCAUCUAAGUCAGACGUGAAAUCCCCCGGCUUAACCUGGGAACUGCGUCCGAUACUGGAGGGCUCGAGUUUGGGAGAGGGAUGUGGAAUUCCAGGUGUAGCGGUGAAAUGCGUAGAUAUCUGGAGGAACACCGGUGGCGAAGGCGGCAUCCUGGACCAACACUGACGCUGAGGCGCGAAAGCUAGGGGAGCGAAACGGGAUUAGAUACCCCGGUAGUCCUAGCCCUAAACGAUGAAUGCUUGGGUGUGGGCGGGUAUCGAUCCCUGCCGUGCCGAAGCUAACG